UGCUUUUCGCAACGAGAUUGCUGCAAGGGGAAAACCAAUGAUACGAGAGCUGUUAAAAGUGUGCAUAAAGUGUGGCAAUUAAGUUUUUAGUCGAAGAGGCACAGGAAAAGCGAACUGCACGCGACGAGCGAACAAAGACGAAUGAGCAGGCAACCUAGACUGAGUCUCAAAAGAUACAUUACUACCUAUGUGUGUACCCAUCUGAAUCUCAAUCCCGGUGAAGCUCGACCAGCACCUGCCCACCUUCGAAGGCAGACCCGCGCGCGACAGGCAAAAUUGUUUACCAGGUGCUGGGUUUUCAGACCUCGUCUACCUAAGACAUCGCUCACUUUGUCAACUGAGUGCUGAUCGCAUUUAAAUCUGUUCAAGAAUAGCAUAACAACUAUAUAAACGGAGUGUUAACACCCUAAGUCAAAAAGUGAAUGCAAACCGAGACCGAGAGUGAUCACGCGAUCAGUUUGGCAAUGCGGCAGCGCUUUAUGGGGACUUAAUGAUAUAACAAAGUGAAUUGUUUUAUAAACUAUUUGGCGCGGCAUAAAUAAUUGCACGCCAUCAAACUAAAGCUUUAUGAGGCCCCCACACGACAUCGCCACUAAAUGAGUUGUAAACUCUCAAAUGCACUCAAGGUGUUGAAAAUUUAUUCCAAAAUAUAUAAAUUAUGUGAAGAACACUUGCUGCACUCGCAUCAUCUCUCUUUGGCAUUGACUCUAUGUCAAGUGCUCGGUGCGAGACUCAAAAGCAAUAAUAAAUCAUCGGCCCUGGCAACGGUUUGAGCGGUUUUCAACAAGGCUACAGCCGCAGCUGAGGCUAAAUAAAAGCAUCCAGACUUGAUGGCAAACCGCAAAUAAAUAUCAGGCAAAUAAAAUCAGCCAGAUCAUCUGGCAGCACUCAGCAAAAUAUGUAUGAAUUUUAGAUCUAAAAUAUAGUUAACGAAAAUAUUAAAGACAUUGCAAUUUAAAACAAAUAUUUGGCAAACUAAUCGAAAUCGAAUUGAAUAUUGAAUCUAAUCAACCAUUUUUAAUAAAUUAAUAAAUCUUGUAUCAUUUCAUCAAAUAAAUUAAAAUAUUAAAAGAAAUAACUGGUAGAUAU